rnacentral:rRNA from 1 species
UGGGGAAUAUUGCACAAUGGGCGCAAGCCUGAUGCAGCCAUGCCGCGUGUGUGAAGAAGGCCUUCGGGUUGUAAAGCACUUUCAGCGAGGAGGAAGGUGGUGAGCUUAAUACGCUCAUCAAUUGACGUUACUCGCAGAAGAAGCACCGGCUAACUCCGUGCCAGCAGCCGCGGUAAUACGGAGGGUGCAAGCGUUAAUCGGAAUUACUGGGCGUAAAGCGCACGCAGGCGGUUUGUUAAGUCAGAUGUGAAAUCCCCGGGCUCAACCUGGGAACUGCAUUUGAAACUGGCAAGCUAGAGUCUCGUAGAGGGGGGUAGAAUUCCAGGUGUAGCGGUGAAAUGCGUAGAGAUCUGGAGGAAUACCGGUGGCGAAGGCGGCCCCCUGGACGAAGACUGACGCUCAGGUGCGAAAGCGUGGGGCAGCAAACAGGAUUAGAUACCCUGGUAGUCCACGCUGUAAACGAUGUCGAUUUUGGAGGUUGUGCCCUUGAGGCGUGGNUUCCGGAGCUAACGCGUUAAAUCGACCGCCUGGGGAGUACGGCC